AUGGUUAUCGAGGAGAACGCGGCUAUCUGUAUUCCAAACACAAGCUCCGAUUGUUACAUCCAGCCACUGAUCCGCCAUUUUUUCGUGGAUUCGAGCCAAGAUUCAAUUCGAGGAGGAAACUUUGGUGUUCUGGAUAUUCGAUUUCCCAAUUAUGCUUGGGAUGUGGAAAAUUAUCAAUCGAAUUUGCCAUAUAUAUUCUCUGAUCGCUGAUGCAAAGCUGCAGGUUUGAUAUUUACAACGAUUCUUUAGAAAUUGAAUAUUGUUGGCCGAUAAACAGUUAUUGACCCUUAAUAUCCUGAUCAAUAUCUCAUAUUUUAUAUUAUCGUGCCAAUGAAAUUGUGGUUGUCAAGCUGUGAAAUUAUAUUCGUGAAAUUAUAUUUCGAUUCAUAUUAUUUUCAAUAAUAUUGUGAACGUGAUUCGAAAAUUUCAUCGAAAAUUUGACCACUUUAUUGUUUCAACGAUACAACAAUUCAUCUACAGUAUCAUCUACAUUCAUCACAUGUAUAAACAUAUUGUAUACGUUUAUUAUGUUAUACUUCACUCUAUGAACUGGCAUGGAUACCCAAAAACCUUGUAUAUCAAUACAUAUUUGCAGAUAAUGUUUAUAAACGUGGACAAGGCUUAAAGCAUUACAGCACCAUAAAUGUAAAAAUAUUGAAAAAAAAAAAGGUUAGUUAAUUUAUUCACGAAAGUAGAUAGCUAAUUUAUCAAAACAUCUCAUAACAAACAAUUUAUAAUUUAUAACGAUUCAUCUCCAAUCUUCAAGUAAUCUUAUAAUAUAAUUCAAUUCGUGCAUAAUUUAAUUGCACAGAAGUAAAGUUUCAUUGAUAUAAUUGCAAAUGUAACUAGGAGCAACAUGAGGAUUGCGUGUGAUCGGGUCUCAUGUUCAGGAACUUUGGUGAAAUAAAUUUUCAGCGGCGUUUGAAUUAGAAUUUCAGAUGAACAAUCACACAGGAAUAUGCAACGGAAAGGGGGAAGAAAAGUUUUACUACACCAAGACCAACAAAUGUGACGUCCUUUCCGCGAAACGGCUGUACAUACCUUGCAGACAAGUGAAAUGUCAUACAUAGUGAAUUGCGUGCAAGAGGCAUUAUGUAAAUAUCGGCUCGAGAAGAAUGAUGCACUCGAUUCACUUUGCUUUCUCAAUCUUUUUAUCUAUUCCCUUUAGAUCGAGGAUUUCUUCACGGAACGCUGUAAUCUCAUCAAACAUUUGCGUAAUCGUAUUUCGUCUCGAGAUUUUUCUCGAUAAUUCUCGAAAUUCUUCGUUACAGAAUUAAUGAAUUGGUGAUUUAAGAUAACGAUAAUUUCGUAAUAAUUUAAUUAGAAUAUAUAUUUCAGUAGCGAU